GUCCACGCUGUAAACGAUGAGCACUAGGUGUCGUGGGUAUUGACCCCCGCGGUGCGACGCUAACGCAUUAAGUGCUCCGCCUGGGGACGUACGGCCGCAAGGUUAAAACUCAAAGGAAUUGACGGGGGCCCGGCACAAGCGGUGGAGCAUGUGGUUCAAUUCGACGCAACGCGAAGAACCUUACCUGGGCUAUACAACGGAGGACCGCUCCAGAGAUGAGGCUUUCCCUUCGGGGACUCCGUUCAGGUGCUGCAUGGCUGUCGU
rnacentral:rRNA from 1 species